GCCUGUUUUAAUUUUUUCACACAAGUACACACACAGUCAUAUAAUCACACACAAAGCGUGAUCAGCUGAAAGCCACGGCGUACAGAUUGCAGACCAUCUGCUCACUUAUUCUCUGAAUAUCAAAGUUGAGGGCUGCAUCUUCAGACCACGCUUAAAAAUGUGAAAACUGCAUUUCAUUUAAAAUAUCCCACCAUCAAACCUUUAUGAACGCUGCAUAAGAGCAAAGACAUUGUGCAAUGCAUUUUGAUCAAUAUUACUAUUGGUGCACAAUAAACAUUAUAAAUUUGCAUUCAAGGAGACUACGAGACUAUGCCAGCACAGACUUGGCAUUGCGCCUGUUUACUGCUUUACCUUAUAAAUAGAGUGGCAGUGUUUGGAAACAGGCUUGUCUCUCUGUUUCACAGUGUACUGGAUUUUACAGUAAACGUCAUCAUAGGCACUGGAAAGCAGCAGACACACAGGCCAGUCCUGAUGGCAGGCGCUUGGGGGUCAGCCUGCACUGGACUCCGGCUCUAGCAGCCCACUGGGCCCUCACUUCAACUCUAAACAUUUCACAGGUCAGUGAGCAGAGAUAUACUCCAUGCACUCACACACUAUCUGAAAUUCAUUUUUUAACAAAAAAAAAAAUUAGUAAUGUUAUUCAGCAACAAUGCUUUAAAUUGAUCAAAAGUGGCAGUAUGGACUUUUCAUCACCUCGUCUCAAUUUGUAACUAUUUUAUGUUUUGGUAAAUUGGUGGGUAAUUCGUAUGAGUUCAUUAAAUCUCUUUCAUAUGUUUCUAUACGAUCUGCUUACGCCCCACUGAUGGUCAUGUUUUUAGGGUUGGGGUUAGGGGUCAACCUUCAUUACAAAAAGUACAUUUACACAGCAAAGAUGUACUAAAGACUAAAGACUUUUCCUUCACACUUUUUAAAAUGUUCUGCAUACAGACAACAAUGUUGUCAAAGUGAUUGUAAUUUUCAACAAUCCGUGAAAUUGACUAAAAUUGCUGUAUUAUGCAUGCCAGGCCAGUAGUUGGCGAUGUCACACUACGAAUCUGGGCACACUUAACAUGCAUGUGCAUGACAUUACCGUUUUCACAAAUUUGCAUUUUUGUAGCAUGCAGUUGAUGAUGGUAUAAUUUUCAAAAACUUCCACUUUGAAACCCAUUUUCGAAAGCUUGAAACACCCCUUUAUAAAUUAUGUUUUUCAUGUGUUUUCGUGUGAUUACAAAUUCAUACAAGAUUGACUUUGUAAAAUAGUUACAUUUCCCAUGAAACUGGGUUGGACACCUACAUUCUUACAGAAAUUUCUGUUUGAAAUAUACUAGAUGAAAUAUUCUGUUUCUAUUAAUCAAAUAAUCCUGAAAUUCAGUGUAUCAUUGUUUUCAACAGAAAAUGUUAUAGUAGAAUGAUUUCUGAAGGAUCAUGUGACACUGAAGACUGGAGUAAUGACGCUGAAAAUUCAGCUUUGAUCACAGAAAUAAAUUACAUUAAAAUAUAUUCA
ensembl:lncRNA